rnacentral:rRNA from 1 species
AAAUGGCUGCAGUAAUAUAACUGUACAAAGGUAGCAUAAUCAUUAGUUUUUUAAUUAAAAGCUUGUAUGAAAGGUUGGACGAAGUAAAAUCUGUCUCUUUUUAAUAUAAUUAGAAUUUAAUUUUUAAGUUAGAAAGCUUAAAUUUUUUUAAAAGACGAGAAGACCCUAUAGAGUUUAAUAAUUUAUUUUAAAUAAUUAAUUUAGAUUUAUUUAUUUUAUUUAUUAUAAAAUUAUUUUAUUGGGGUAAUAGAAAGAUUAAUUUAAUUCUUUUUUUUAGUUAACAUUAAUAUAUGAUUUAAAUGAUCCAUUUUUUAUGAUUAAAAGAUUAAAUUACCUUAGGGAUAACAGCGUAAUUUUUUUAUAGAGUUCAUAUCGAUAAAAAAGUUUGCGACCUCGAUGUUGGAUUAAAGAUUAAUUUAGGUGCAGAAGUUUAAAUUUUUGGUCUGUUCGACCAUUAAAUCUUUACA